rnacentral:rRNA from 1 species
AAUGAACGCUGGCGGCAUGCCUAACACAUGCAAGUCGAACGAACCCUUCGGGUGUAUUCGCGCAUGGGUUCGUAACCGGUGGGGUCAUGCCCUUGGGUUUGGCCUAACUCUCCGAAUGGGGUGCUAAUACGGGAUCAUGUCUUCUAACCAAAGAUUUAUCGCAUUUGGAGGUGCCCUAGUUGGAUUAGCUAGUUGUUAGGGUAAAAGCCUACCACGGCGACGAUCCAUAGCUGGUCUGAGAGGAUGAUCACCGACACUGGGACUGGGAAACGGCCCAGACUCCUACGGGAUGCAGGAGAGGGGAAUAGAGGAAAACGGGGGAAAGCAUGAUGCACUAAGGCCGGGUAAGUGAUGAAGGCCGGAGGGAUGUAAAGCUCUUUUACCCGGGAUGAUAAUGACAGUACCGGGAGAAUAAGCUCCGGCUAACUCCGUG